UCCUCCUACAAAGGCAUAACUAUGGUUCCUUAUCUUGGGAGAUAUAAGAAUUGGAAGUAAAGAAAUGUGGAGUUAGAGAAAUUGGGGACUAGAUUGUUCCCUGAUGGCCCACGAUCAACAAUCCCACAUUG
ensembl:snoRNA